GCUCGCCAAUGAUCCUCGUCCUCCCGCUAAACAUCUCAGCACCGAACCCCUGAAGCCAGGGGCGGAUACAGGAGGGGGGCUAGGCGGGCUCAAGCCCCCCUAAGCUCCCCUAAUUACACGUAAAAUACUGUAGCAAGACCUCCAAAUCACCAUUAAAUCUUCACACAAAUCAACAUCUCUAUUGUUUCAGCCCCCCUUACCUCCAAUCCUGCAUCCGCCACUGCCUGAAACCCCUUCCCUGCCUCAUCUAAUGGAUGAUGCCCAGCCGCCCACCAACCACUCGAGGAAAUGCCUACUGAAGUAGCAAAACUGCUCACUUCAGCUUCCUGUUAAAUAAGCAUCCAUGAUCCCAUGCAGUUUGGUAACCACCACCGUUAGCACAGACUGCAGAAACAUUAGUGCACUAUCUUUGAUGGACAUUGGAGUCUCCCUGCUGAUAUUAAGUUCUGGCAACAGCUAUGGCUAAACAGUUUGCAACACCUUUGUCAGGGAUGGUAAUCUCUGUGAACUUUGCAAUGCUCAUCCCAUCUCUGAACAAGUCAUCUGUUGGCCUGCUUGGAAUACUUCACGGAGAACAACUCCAACGUCAAAGAUAUUCACGAGAUUCAAUUCACAUGUUUACCUUAUUGCUAGAUGCACGAGUUAAUACUUGUAACAAAAAUCAUAAAUACCUAUUACCUCCAAUAAGGUCACACCAUUUAAUCUGAGCUUCUUCUUUAAAAAAAAACUGAGCUUCUGGAAGCUUCUGGAACAAAACCAAACGGAUGUCUCAUAUUGAGUUGUAGCUAAAUAGCAAUUGAGAAGCUAAUUUAGCAGCUAUAUACACUGACAUCCAAAUGAAUCUGGUGCCAUUUAGCAACUGGGAUAGAUAAAGCUGACAUCCAGCAAUUAAACUGUUAAUCCGUAUCUUCAAAUAUUUCAAGUUUUGAUAUUCAUGUAUCAGGAAUUAUAACCAUGAAUCAAAUUUAGUUCUUCAAUUUAUUUGUAACUGAGAUGUUUCUUGGAUAAGCAGAUACAUCUAUGUUGAUUUCCAUAAUGUACUCUUAUAGAUAUGUCCAUAUUUCUCCCUUUAUGUGUUUCUGAAGCUUUAGCCAAUCAGUUUCUAUCCUUUUAUUCUUUAAAACUGCCAGGCUCCUGUUAUUAAGUAAUAUUUUACUUUGAUGGAGCCUAAAAACUUCAAGCCUCUACCAAUUCUUUAUUUAUAUUCGGACACCAUCAGGAAGUCAUUUACCUGAUUUAUCUAUUAAGCUCAUAUGGAUGAUAGAGAACGGUUGGCUGUGUGAAGAAUAAUGCAGAAAAAGAAUAACCCAGCUCUCAAAUUAUGGUGUCUCUUACUCUACGGAUACUACUAAAGGUUCUCAAAAAAAAUAUUAAAUCCACAUGUGAAAGUAUGUGAAAAUCGCUGGACCGCGUUUCUUUAAAUCCACAUCUUCAUUAAAGUUUUAGAUUCCUCGCACUCGACAUAUGUGACAAAUAAACUACAACUUCGACAGUUUAUAUAUGUGGACAAGGUUCAGUCAAGUAUUGAUGUUCCAGAUAAUCAUAAUCCAAUAGCUGACAAGCUCGUCAACACUGCAAGGAGACCACACAUACAUGGCAUACAUAUACGGCAACGCCGCAAGCAUUUCUAGUCAUAUCAAGCCCCGAUCCAAGUCCAAGCCCAAGCCCAAGUCCAGCGCUCUUCCCUUCCCCAGUCGCGUGUCCUUUGCUGUACUGUACCGCAGGGAGGCUCCGCGCCUCCGCCGCCGCCCUCCCCGUAGUCCGUGCCCGCCGGCCGUCCUUUCGGCCGUCCUCGCCGUCGUCACCGCAGGGCCGCAGGACGCCCUCCUCGCUCGCCGCCCUGCCGGCCAGCAGUCCGCUCCGGCCGUCCUACCUGCCGGCCGCCUUCCCCGUCGUCCGUGCCCGCAGAAAGCCACUGAGCCACAAGGCAUGGGCUCAUUCCUCCGUUGCUAGCUAUCUAAGGGGGCAGAAGGUUGAUCCAGUCUUCAUCUGAAUCGACCGGAUCAAAGAAGCUGCUAUUCAAGGUUGUAUUUGUUGCCGUAGCUGCAGUUCUGUUUCACUGUUUCUCAAACAACAGUUGAGAGCUAACAUUGUUAUCGAGAAUCGGCUAGUUUGGACUGUGGAGCCAUGGCGGUAGAAUGUACCAUUUGUAGUAUGUGUAUUGCCUUGCCUGCUGCCUGUAGAUUUGCCUGCAUCCAGGCAUUGUUUUGCCAUCCUUGAUUCUUGAAAGCGACUAGCUGUCCCUUGAUUGCACCAGGUACAAUUUUCGCUUUUUCCAGGGACCCAACACACAUUUCUGAAGUUGAUGUAACCACAUCUUUUUGCCGCUUUGUUUUGUGGCAUUGUGCAUUUGUAUGCCACAUCUCACGCGAAUCUUCCAUGAACUGUUGCCACGUGCUGAUCUCGGAUUCAACCUUGAAGGCCCCGCAGGGGCGAAGCUAGAGCAGAUUGAAAAGGGUGCAUAUGUUGUUUUGUGGAUGCAUGAAGUUAACAUCUGAAUGUAUAUAUAAUGUAUAUAUAUGAUGAAAAAAAUAAAUUUAAUCACUGAUUUUGCUUA